GGCAAAGUCGAGGGAUACCUGGGGUCCUCGUAGCACCUGUUAGCGGUUUGGCUAGCGGUUGCAAGUCUGGGUCUGUUUUCUCUGAAAGGCCCCAUUGCCAGGCCUGAAGCCAGAGCAUUUCCUGUUGCUCUCUGACAGUG
rnacentral:lncRNA from 1 species